GCGGACAGAUGGGAGCUUGCUCCCUGAUGUUAGCGGCGGACGGGUGAGUAACACGUGGGUAACCUGCCUGUAAGACUGGGAUAACUCCGGGAAACCGGGGCUAAUACCGGAUGGUUGUUUGAACCGCAUGGUUCAAACAUAAAAGGUGGCUUCGGCUACCACUUACAGAUGGACCCGCGGCGCAUUAGCUAGUUGGUGAGGUAACGGCUCACCAAGGCAACGAUGCGUAGCCGACCUGAGAGGGUGAUCGGCCACACUGGGACUGAGACACGGCCCAGACUCCUACGGGAGGCAGCAGUAGGGAAUCUUCCGCAAUGGACGAAAGUCUGACGGAGCAACGCCGCGUGAGUGAUGAAGGUUUUCGGAUCGUAAAGCUCUGUUGUUAGGGAAGAACAAGUACCGUUCGAAUAGGGCGGUACCUUGACGGUACCUAACCAGAAAGCCACGGCUAACUACGUGCCAGCAGCCGCGGUAAUACGUAGGUGGCAAGCGUUGUCCGGAAUUAUUGGGCGUAAAGGGCUCGCAGGCGGUUUCUUAAGUCUGAUGUGAAAGCCCCCGGCUCAACCGGGGAGGGUCAUUGGAAACUGGGGAACUUGAGUGCAGAAGAGGAGAGUGGAAUUCCACGUGUAGCGGUGAAAUGCGUAGAGAUGUGGAGGAACACCAGUGGCGAAGGCGACUCUCUGGUCUGUAACUGA
rnacentral:rRNA from 1 species